UCUGAAUCUGCGNACGGCUCCGCAAACCAGUUGUAAACUACAGCAAGCAAGCACGGGGGGUUGGCCUUCACGGGUCGGUCCCUCGGGCGAUAUGGAUAACCCUGGUAAUUCUGAGGCUAAUACAAGAACGUAACCCCUGGUUGACUGAGCCCUCGCCCUCGGGUGGGGAUACUUGGGAGGCUGGGAAGCGUGCGAGUACUAAUGCGAAUGAGAACCGGGAAUGGGCGCACGCUUGGACCGCGCUAUAAAGGAUCAUUACUCGGCAAUCCCUCCGGGGUGCGCUUUGUUUUGGCCCUAGCGGCUCUUGCGGUGUGCUUCUGACCUAUCAACUAGACGGCAGCGUAACGGACAUGCUAUGGUACAACGGGUACAG
rnacentral:rRNA from 1 species